GAAACACCCUUAUGGGGCAGGACUUGCUUCAGUGGGGCUUUGGUGCUCACAGGUCUGCCCCUUGAGUGUGUCUCU
rnacentral:pre_miRNA from 1 species